CUAAAGGAAGUGGUAUAUUUUUACCUGGAAGUAAAAAGUGCUGCGUAUCCAGAAGAUGGGCCACCAGGUGUAUGGCUCAUAUCUAACCAUAGGUAGGUAUCCUUUAUUCCAGCUCCACUGCAAUGGGCUCAGGGUAUUAAAUGACCUGGAGCACCUAUAGGGGGAUUAUUUGGAAUGGUAGUCUGUAAAGUGGGGUUUUAAAGAGAC